CUGCUUCGUGCGUGCACUUGUAAAAAUUUAUAUUUAAAAGGCUCAUUAUUACGGUUUAAUAUUUCUGUGUAAUGUAGAACAGUGUUAGCAAUGUUACUUAUAACAUUCUUUCUCAGCCCUGAAACUCAAACCAUUUUCUGAUGCCCCCCCAAAAUAUGUAUAUUAUAUAUAUUAAUUAUAUAUUAAGUAAUUAAAUUAAUAUCAUAAAUGUGUGACUAGUCGACAAAUGGCUUAAAUUAACGCCUACUAGUCGACUAGGAAAAUCUUUGGUCAGGGGCAGCCCUAUUUUCAGCUUAUCACAAUGUAUAGUCAGGACAUUAAUUAUAUGAAAAAUUACUAUUACAAUUUGAAGAAAAAUUUCAGAACUUCUUAAACUACUUCAAAGAGUUCUCAUCCAGAAAUCCUCCACGUGCAGCAAUGACAGCUUUGCAGAUUCUUGGCAUUCCAGCUGUCAGUUUGUCUAGAUACUCAGGUGACAUUUCACCCCACACUUCCUGUAGCACUUGCCAUAGAUGUGGCUGUAUUGUCGGGCACUUCUCAUGCACCUUACAGUCUAGCUGAUCCCACAAAAGCUCAAUGGGGUUAAGAUCCAUAACACUCUUUUCCAAUUAUCUGUUGUCCAAUGUCUGUGUUUCUUUGCCCACUCUAACCUUUUCUUUUUGUUUUUCUGUUUCAAAAGUGGCUUUUUCUUUGCAAUUCUUCCCAUAAGGCCUGCACCCCUGAGUCUUCUCUUUACUGUUGUACAUGAAUCUGGUGUUGAGCGGGUAGAAUUCAAUGAAGCUGUCAACUGAGGACAUGUGAGAUGUCUAUUUCUCAAACUAGAGACUCUGAUUUACUUAUCCUAUUGGGGAGGAGUGGUUCCAUCCACCAGGGGCCGGAGGACUCGCUGCUGUCCUCCGGGGGAGGAGUAGCGGUUGAGGACCGGGCAACAGCGCGUCCGGGAGCCGGUUCGCAGGAGGCAGGGUGGACCACCGGCUGACAGAACAGCCGGAAGGGCAGCGUCUCCCCUCCAGAGAUUGGAGGGGGGAGUUUUUCAGACCAGUGGCGCCCUGGCCUGAAUCAUGCGGGGGAGGAGUGUGACGAGGAGGAGGGAGUGGCCGGGCCGUGAUGGAGCACGGCCUGCGCUGAAUCAGCUGAUCAGCAGUAGAGCGAGAUAAAGGGCAGCCGAAGAUGCCGGUUCAGGAGAGAGAGAGAUCUGGUUCCCGCCUCCUCCUUGCCCAUCCAUGAACUGUUAUGAUCUGUUCCUCACACAAAGCUGUCAUGUAUAAGCUUUGUGUACAGACGGGGCGGACUGGCCAUAGGAAGAACCGUGACUUUUCCUGUUGCGGGCGGCAAUAAGCUGAAACGGGAAGCCGUGUUAUGCCGAAUGGGCCGCGACUGGCUGAGGUCAAAUCCAGGGCUGAUUUCUCUUCCCAAUCCACCCCUGUGUACAGACAACCUCUUGUAAUGUCAAUUAUAGUAUCUAAAAGCUGCUAAUUACAGUGUGUGGACAUGUGGGUGCUGUUCUUUAUUGAUAGUCAUGCUGAAGAUAACAAUGUAUGAUUUAACUGCACAGUCUUGCAGCAGGUCUAAUUGGAGGGGCUUGUGUUUUAGAUUUAAGUAUAGAUGUGUCCAGUAGGGGUUGGAGUGGCAGUGUAGGAAAUAUCUUGAAUUCUCUCUUAAUGUAAAAUUAAUCACACUU